CCGGUGUCUGGCCUGUGUUUGUGGGCAGUGCGGGCGGGAGGAGCGCGGCCCAAAAUGGCGCCAAAAUGUGCGGCCUGGUGAGCUGUGAGGUGGAGACUUCUCUGGUGAACUAAUUGGUUUUAACCCUUUUGUUUCACUCGUCGAAGGAUGGGAGUGUGCCCUGGAGACCCUUGCUACUGCCAAAUGGUGGUGUAGGGUGGGCAGGAUCCUAAUGCAAAGUCCCCAUGGUGAUUGUGGUGACACUGGGUGGCCAUGGCGGGCAUGGGGAUGUUGGCAGGUAGGAGCAGGUUGUUGUGUGGGGUCUGGGCCAUGGCUCUGCCCAGCAUGAGAACCCAAAUCCCACAAACUAAACUGCAUUUUUCCCAUUGACUUGGUGUCUUCCCCUUCUGGGACCAACCUCUGAAGUGGUUUGGGUCAUUACAGAUCACAGAUGCAUCUUUUGUCUGCAUUAACUAUGUAUAUACAUGGGAUGUUGUUUUUUUUCUUUGUGGUUUUCCUACUCUUCAGUACUGAGACCAUCAGCAGCAAGAGCUGGACUUUCACAAUGGUUGGUAUGAUUUUUAUCCCCUCAUCUUCAAAUCAUAGAAUCACUAAGGCUGAGAAGAACACUAAGAUCAUCCAGUCCAACCAACAAUCCAUGCCUGUGACUGCUCUAGACCACGUCCCUCACUGCAGUAUCUACCAUUUUUUUUAACACCUCCGGGAACAGCAACUCCACCACCUCCAUGGGCAGCCUGUGCCAGUGCCUGACCACUCUGAGAAGAAUUUCUUCCUAAUAUCCAACCUGAACCUCUAUCUCCCCAGGUUUUGUGUCGGUGCCACAGUUGGUGGGAACCUGGGAGCUCAUGGAAGCUGAGCACCGGGCUGUUGGGCACAGUGCUGUGUACAGGAAUCAGGUUUAAGUAUCAUUUCCUGAAAGCUUUCCCUCCAGCUUGUAGCAUGAACAAUCUGAGGUCAAGUUUGGCAGCUCGGUGAGCAACUUCUGUGAGUUUUGGUGCUUUUCUCUGUUCCCUUUGCAGGCAGGAUUUUCUUUAUGCUUUUCUUUCUCUUUCUCAAUAUUCUCCCUAUUGUUUCACUUG
rnacentral:lncRNA from 1 species